ensembl:lncRNA
AUUAAGUCAUCUGAAAGCAAUUUUCAAUUAUGAAAAUACAAUUUAAAUAAGGGGGAAGAGGAGUCUUUGAAGAUGACAAAAGUGGAAAGUGAUUGACACACUCUGUUGUCAGCUGGAAUCAAUUUCACACUUGGGGAAAAAUACCUUCGCUAGGGAAAGAUCAUCCGUCAGCAGGAAGCAAACUGCAGGGAACUGGGAAAGGAGAGAGAAAGUAAAUCCCAUCUUAAGAAAAAUAUUCAGCAGCCUGAAAACCCUUCACCUUGACAAAAUGAAAUCUCUUUAAUAGAUCUGCCUUUGCCUCAAGAGCAAUUCUUUUCACUCUAUGCAAGUACAAAGAUUUAGAAGAUUCAACAAAGAGACAAGACCAAACUUUUACACUGAUGCAGAUCUUGUGUUAAGAAACGCAGUUAAAAGCGCUCCAGGACUCUUCAAGAUGGGAAGGCCCUCAGCACAGCAUUUCUCUGCAUUAUCUGAUAGACUCCACUCUAAGGGGCUGUUCCCAAGAAGCUUCUUUGCUGGUAUCUUUUAGGAUGACUUUUGGAUUUCCCCAUGCCCAGGAGGAUCUCCCUAACACAGUAUCCCGUGCUAUUUCAUUUGUUUGGUUUAGAGGAGGUUUAUCUGUGUACCUCUCAGAUGAUUCCCAGCUCCCCCAGAGGACCAAUCUACUCAGCAGGAGGAAAUCACAGAUCUUAUGACAGAGAUAGAAUGCAGGAGAGAAGAUCAAUACGAAUACAUCAACACAAGUUUUAAAACCACUGCUAUGAUUUACACACAGUCUUGAUAUUGAUGGGAUAUCUGUUUGACUGAUAUGCAAGCAAAUUCUUUCAUUUGGUAAAGGGUAACAGACUGAAAUGGCGUGUCCUUUGAUUUCCUGAAGGCCAAACUGGAUGAUCUAAUGAUUCAGACAGGUCUUAAAAUAUAUAUUAAGGAGAUACAUGACUUGAUAAAAUAUUCUGUAGUCUUCAAAUGAUGCUUUAUAAAUAUUAUACAUAUAUAUAAAGUACCGUGUAUAUACAUUAAAUUAUAUUACACUAUACAUCCCAAAUUCUGAAAAUAAUGUUUCCUCCCACUUGUUCUCCUCAUUGCUGUAGCUUAUAAUGCAGCUUUUCACCUGUGUCCACAUCAGUAGCUGAGAUGAUAAAGGACAUCUCAGUUCAGUGAGACCCAGAAGGCUCAUCAGCCAAGACACCAUUUAUAUGUCUGAUGACAUACAUUUAUUUUAGCAGCCUUACCUAUUGCUUACUGAAAUGAAGGAAAAGAUCUAAAAAACAAUCAGUGGCACUUCUGAUUUAGAAAAUCCUGCCUCUUCCAGUGAGAAGUACAAUAGGAAACAACUAUGUGAAACAAGAUCUGGUCCCAAAACAAUUCAAAAACAAGUAUCUCUCUGAUUUCCUAGAGUACACAGAAGCUAUUCCUUAUACAAGAAAUACAACAAGAGUACUGAGGUAGAACUUUACUGUAAUCAUCAUUAACAACCUUUCUUAUUUCAUGAGCUCAUUCAAUCAAUUCUAUGUUCAAGUAACUGGAUCAUUAUAUCUUACAAGUAUUUAUUAAAAACAAAUAAAG